rnacentral:rRNA from 1 species
CCUACGGGUGGCAGCAGUGGGGAAUAUUGGGCAAUGGGCGCAAGCCUGACCCAGCAACGCCGCGUGAAGGAAGAAGGCUUUCGGGUUGUAAACUUCUUUUCUCAGGGACGAAGCAAGUGACUGUACCUGAGGAAUAAGUCACGGCUAACUACGUGCCAGCAGCCGCGGUAAUACGUAGGUGGCAAGCGUUAUCCGGAUUGACUGGGUGUAAAGGGCGUGUAGGCGGGACUGCAAGUCAGGUGUGAAAACCAUGGGCUCAACCUAGGGACUGCAUUUGAAACUGUAGUGCUUGAGUACUGGAGAGGCAGGCGGAAUUCCUAGUGUAGCGGUGAAAUGCGUAGAUAUUAGGAGGAACACCAGUGGCGAAGGCGGUCUGCUGGACAGCAACUGACGCUGAGGCGCGAAAGCGUGGGGAGCAAACAGGAUUAGAUACCCGUGUAGUC